UACGUAGGGUGCAAGCGUUGUCCGGAAUUACUGGGCGUAAAGCGCACGUAGGCGGGUUGUUAAGUCAGGGGUGAAAUCCUGGAGCUCAACUCCAGAACUGCCUUUGAUACUGGCAACCUAGAGACUGGAAGAGGUUAGUGGAAUUCCCAGUGUAGAGGUGAAAUUCGUAGAUAUCAGGAGGAACACCGGUGGCGAAGGCGGUUCUCUGG
rnacentral:rRNA from 1 species